rnacentral:rRNA from 1 species
AGCGAACGCUGGCGGCAGGCCUAAUACAUGCAAGUCGAGCGCACCUUCGGGUGAGCGGCGGACGGGUGAGUAACGCGUGGGAAUAUGCCCUUUGGUACGGAACAACUGAGGGAAACUUCAGCUAAUACCGUAUGUGCCCUUCGGGGGAAAGAUUUAUCGCCAUUGGAGUAGCCCGCGUUGGAUUAGCUAGUUGGUAGGGUAAAGGCCUACCAAGGCUACGAUCCAUAGCUGGUCUGAGAGGAUGAUCAGCCACAUUGGGACUGAGACACGGCCCAAACUCCUACGGGAGGCAGCAGUAGGGAAUCUUGCGCAAUGGGCGAAAGCCUGACGCAGCCAUGCCGCGUGAAUGAUGAAGGUCUUAGGAUU